GAAGUUCGAUCAAUAAUGGCAACUCCCUCUCCUUUUUGUUGCAUUGUAAAAAGAAAUACAUUUGCUUGGUUUGCUGGUUGCACGUGGUUUAGCUAAAAAUCAUAUCUACUAUGCAAACCAUGUCGAGAUUUCUGGAUGUUGUCAUAUUAAACGUAAGGCGUGUUUGGAUGCAAGGCAUGCUCAGUUGAAUUGAACUAAAGGAAACAAAGAAAAAUGGAAAUAAAAAAUAAAAAAAUUCUUGAAUCAAGUAUCAUUAUUCUAAUUUGAAUGAGGUUGGCAUUGCAUAUCAUGUAUUUUAAUUUAGACUCAAAAUCAUCUGAAUUUGCAGUUUCGGUCUUCUUCUUCAUCUUCUUCUUUUUCUUUUUCUUUUUUCUUUUUUCAAUUCCUCUCUAUUAAGCUUUAAUUCUUGUGAUUCAAAUUCAAUUAUCAUUCUACAUACUAUUCAAAUUCGAAUUCAAUUAUCAAUCAGAGCAAACUUGGAUGUGUGGGAUUAAUAUGAUAAAUUAGGCUAUUUUUUUCUUUCAGAGAGAAGAUGAUGUAAGGAGAAGCGAGAACUGUUGAUUGUUUAAGGGGAAGAUUGCUUGCAGAGAGAGUGACUUCAAAGGCUGCAAAAGAAGAUGCAUAAAUCAUGGGUAAAAAGUUGUUCAUGCACAUUCCAUGAAUGGCUAAUGUAGGCCCAUGAUGGGAAAGGACCUACAUUUCUCGGAUCAUCAUGCUAAUAUGUCAGAAGUUACUUGGCAUGUGUGAGGCAAAUGGAUGUGACAUAGUGAAUGGUCACUAAUGCAAGUUCAUUUAUGAAUGGUUAUUGACUAUUUUAACAAGGCACUGGAGGGCUCAAGUAUAGAUCUGUCAUAAGCCAGUAUCUCUGUGUAGAUUGAUCUUGGGAAACAAACAAUUACAUGACCACCACUACUAAGUAAGAAAUCUUGAAGGAAAAAAGAACGGCUAGAUGGAAAGGUAUUGCCUCCUGCAAAAUAGAGAGAAAUGUAAAGGAGAUUGGUGCAAAGGGAAGAUGAUCUUUAUAGCA